GUUGGAAUAGACCUAAUUGGAAAGUUGGUCAAAUCCAACCAGCAAAAUCAAUACAUUUGUGUGCUUAUUGAUUAUUGCACAAAGUGGGCCCAGGCAUAUCCCCUGAAAACAAAAACAGCUGCACAAGUGACACAAGCAAUACUGAAAUUUGUCUACCAAUUUGAAGUGCCCAAAAGAAUUCUAACAGAUCAAGGCAGAGAAUUUGUUAAUAGUGUGAACACUGAAGUCUGCAAAAUCCUGGGAAUAAAAAGAAGCCUUUGUGCACCAUACCACCUGCGGUCAAACGGUUUGGUGGAGAGCCUCAAUGGAACUAUACAGAGGUGAAACAUGGAUCCACCACAGCACAUAUGCAUACUUUGUUUUAAA